GAUGAACGCUGGCGGCGUGCCUAAUACAUGCCAGUCGAGCGAACGGACGAGAAGCUUGCUUCUCUGAUGUUAGCGGCGGACGGGUGAGUCACACGUGGAUAACCUACCUAUAAGACUGGGAUAACUUCGGGAAACCGGAGCUAAUACCGGAUAAUAUUUUGAACCGCAUGGUUCAAAAGUGAAUGACGGUCUUGCUGUCACUUAUAGAUGGAUCCGCGCUGCAUUAGCUAGUUGGUAAGGUAACGGCUUACCAAGGCAACGAUGCAUAGCCGACCUGAGAGGGUGAUCGGCCACACUGGAACUGAGACACGGUCCAGACUCCUACGGGAGGCAGCAGUAGGGAAUCUUCCGCAAUGGGCGAAAGCCUGACGGAGCAACGCCGCGUGAGUGAUGAAGGUCUUCGGAUCGUAAAACUCUGUUAUCAGUGAAGAACAUAUGUGUAAGUAACUGUGCACAGCUUGACGGUACCGAAUCAGAAAGCCACGGCUAACUACGUG
rnacentral:rRNA from 1 species